AUGCUGGCUUUGACAGCAUAUACACUAAAAUUGGAAAAAUACAGAGAUUAAUUAGCAUGGCCCCAGAACAAGGAUGACAUUCGAAUCCUUGAGGCAUUCCAUAUUUUC